rnacentral:rRNA from 1 species
AGUGAACGCUGGCGGUAGGCCUAACACAUGCAAGUCGAACGGCAGCACAGUAAGAGCUUGCUCUUACGGGUGGCGAGUGGCGGACGGGUGAGGAAUACAUCGGAAUCUACUUUUUCGUGGGGGAUAACGUAGGGAAACUUACGCUAAUACCGCAUACGACCUACGGGUGAAAGCAGGGGAUCUUCGGACCUUGCGCGAUUGAAUGAGCCGAUGUCGGAUUAGCUAGUUGGCGGGGUAAAGGCCCACCAAGGUGGCGAUCCGUAGCUGGUCUGAGAGGAUGAUCAGCCACACUGGAACUGAGACACGGUCCAGACUCCUACGGGAGGCAGCAGUGGGGAAUAUUGGACAAUGGGCGCAAGCCUGAUCCAGCCAUACCGCGUGGGUGAAGAAGGCCUUCGGGUUGUAAAGCCCUUUUGUUGGGAAAGAAAAGCAGCAGGUUAAUACCCCGCUGUUCUGACGGUACCCAAAGAAUAAGCACCGGCUAACUUCGUG